UUGAACGCUGGCGGCCGGCCUAACACCUGCAAGUCGCGCGGAUGAAGGGAGCUUGCUCCUGGAUUCAGCGGCGGACGGGUGAGUAAUGCCUAGGAAUCUGCCUGGUAGUGGGGGAUAACGUCCGGAAACGGGCGCUAAUACCGCAUACGUCCUGAGGGAGAAAGUGGGGGAUCUUCGGACCUCACGCUAUCAGAUGAGCCUAGGUCGGAUUAGCUAGUUGGUGGGGUAAAGGCCUACCAAGGCGACGAUCCGUAACUGGUCUGAGAGGAUGAUCAGUCACACUGGAACUGAGACACGGUCCAGACUCCUACGGGAGGCAGCAGUGGGGAAUAUUGGACAAUGGGCGAAAGCCUGAUCCAGCCAUGCCGCGUGUGUGAAGAAGGUCUUCGGAUUGUAAAGCACUUUAAGUUGGGAGGAAGGGCAGUAAGUUAAUACCUUGCUGUUUUGACGUUACCAACAGAAUAAGCACCGGCUAACUUCGU
rnacentral:rRNA from 1 species